UGACCUCGGAUCAGGUAGGGAUACCCGCUGAACUUAAGCAUAUCAAUAAGCGGAGGAAAAGAAACCAACAGGGAUUGCCUCAGUAACGGCGAGUGAAGCGGCAAAAGCUCAAAUUUUAAAGCUGACAUCUUCGGUGUCCGCGUUGUAAUUUUGUGAGGCAUCUCCGGGUAGGGCGCCGGCCUAAGUUCCUUGGAACAGGACGUCACAGAGGGUGAGAAUCCCGUGCUUGGCUGGCUGUCCCCGUCCAUGUGAGGUGUCUUCGACGAGUCGAGUUGUUUGGGAAUGCAGCUCAAAAUGGGUGGUAAAUUUCAUCUAAAGCUAAAUAUUGGUGGGAGACCGAUAGCGCACAAGUAGAGUGAUCGAAAGAUGAAAAGCACUUUGAAAAUAGAGUUAAAAAGUACGUGAAAUUGUUGAAAGGGAAGCGCUUGAGACCAGACUUCGGUAAGGGGUGAUCAGCCGUCCUUUUGGGCGGUGCACUUGCCCCCCUCCGGGCCAGCAUCGGUUGAGGCGGCGGGAUAAAGGUCCCGGGAAUGUGGCUCCUUCACGGGAGUGUUAUAGCCCGGGUGAAUGCCGCCAGCUUCGACCGAGGACCGCACCCGCAAGGGUUAGGAUGCUUGGCAUAAUGGUCUUCAGCGACCCGUCUU
rnacentral:rRNA from 2 species